GAAACCAAAGUCCAACAUGAAUAUUCCUUACAGAAAGGAUGUAAUCUGCGCGAAUGAAUUUCCAACAUUCACCAUUCCCCAACAGGAGCUGCUUAAACAAACGCUUGUAAGUAUCAUUGCUGACAAAUUAUAUUUAAGAGACCCUCUGAUUUGAAUCUCCCUUCUGUCAUCUGAGGAAAGACAACAGAUAGCAACGGGAAAAAGUUGACUUGUCCUCCCCUCCAAGACAAUUAAUGUCGCUUUCGAGUCACUCCCUACAGACGCGCUUCCCGGCUUGUUUUUGGUGCUGCUGGUGACCACGAUUCUGCUCCUGGAAGUGCACUUAGGAGGCAGUUGUUUCAUGGACGAUGAAAGACAGUGAGAACGCCCAUAAUGUUGCCCUCGUCCUCUCGUCGUGGUGCUAAUUGCCGCCAAGAAAACAUAUACUCUGAAGAAGGGUGUGUGCCAUUCUGCCGAUAUUCGGGACAAUUUUAAGAGUGUUUGUUCAAAAAUACAGACAUCUGCCACCUCCUUGCCGCCCGAUGGCAGUAAGCUCGCAGAAGGACAACGGGAGCUUUCUGGGGGUAUUUACACAUCUGGGGAACACCUGGCAAGAGGAGGUGAACGUUCUAGAUAGAAAGAAUGAGAAAAAAUAACUAAACAUAGAGAUUUUAGCAGGUGUUUCAAAACCGGAAUCCAGAUAAUGGGCUCUGAUCUAGAAGAAGUCAUUUCCCCAGAGGCUGUACUCACUUACAGACCUUGCUCUGCGCUGGUUCCGAGCACCAAGUGAUGCACUUUUAGCAAGAGAUGAGUAGGAAUACAGAGAGAGAUGUACUGUGGCUCCCUUGGACACAAGAGUCCAGAAAGACCAGAUAAGGUCAAGUUAACUACUACAUGUAAAGAGAGGGGUGUGUGUUUGGACAGGAUGAAAGAACCUUCCGUGACCUUCUUUCCCCCACCCCCACAACCUAGACAGAUCUUAGGGGUAAAAUGGAGCGGCCAGGCGAAGCAAAGACACUUUAGGCGCGCAGGUGUGUGAGCGCCUUUUCGGGUCCUGGGACUCUCUGGGGCAUCAGGCAGUGCCCGGCUCCCCAGACAGGGCGCGGUUCACACGGACGAAAGGCUGUGUUGUGCCUUCAGAAGCAAGAUGGGCAAAAUGAGUAUGAAAAUCUUCACACCGAAGACGACAUCCUGGGGGACCAGGCGGGCUGCUCCAGGGUCCCAAUGAAGCUCAGUAGUCGAUGAAGCGAGUAGAUACCGUUUAAUAAACAAAGUGAAUGCACGGCCA
rnacentral:lncRNA from 1 species